rnacentral:pre_miRNA from 3 species
UCUUAUGGGUGAGCAAAGAAAAUGGUUUCUUGAGAUGGAAUCUAUGUCUGGUGAAGAUGUUAUGAG